rnacentral:sRNA from 1 species
UAGCUUCUCAAAGUUUUCAUGGUGUAGCCAAAGUCCGUAUGAUUCUUUGGAUUUGUAUCUUCUAACAAGGAAACACUUCUUAGGCUUAUAAGAUCGGGUUGCGGUUUAAGUUCUUAUACUCAAUCAUACACAUGACAUCAAUUCAUAUUCGACUCGAAAACACUAACCAACCUUCUUCUUGCGUCUCAAAGAAU